rnacentral:rRNA from 1 species
UACAGAGACUGCAAGCGUUAUUCGGAUUCACUGGGCGUAAAGGGCGCGUAGGCGGCCCGCACAAGUCUGCGGUGAAAACCCCCGGCUUAACCGGGGGCCGGCCGUGGAAACUGUCGGGCUAGAGGCCGGGAGAGGGCAGCGGAAUUCCCGGUGUAGCGGUGAAAUGCGUAGAGAUCGGGAGGAACACCGGCGGCGAAGGCGGCUGCCUGGACCGGCCCUGACGCUGAGGCGCGAAAGCUAGGGGAGCAAACAGG